UGCUACACCAUAGACUGUGAGUUGCGAACGGGUGAGUAACGCGUAGGUAACCUGCCUAUUAGAGGGGGAUAACUAUUGGAAACGAUAGCUAAUACCGCAUAACAGUAUGUAACACAUGUUAGAUGCUUGAAAGAUGCAAUUGCAUCGCUAGUAGAUGGACCUGCGUUGUAUUAGCUAGUAGGUAGGGUAAUGGCCUACCUAGGCGACGAUACAUAGCCGACCUGAGAGGGUGAUCGGCCACACUGGGACUGAGACACGGCCCAGACUCCUACGGGAGGCAGCAGUAGGGAAUCUUCGGCAAUGGGGGGAACCCUGACCGAGCAACGCCGCGUGAGUGAAGAAGGUUUUCGGAUCGUAAAGCUCUGUUGUUAAGGAAGAACGAGUGUGAGAAUGGAAAGUUCAUACUGUGACGGUACUUAACCAGAAAGGGACGGCUAACUACGUGCCAGCAGCCGCGGUAAUACGUAGGUCCCGAGCGUUGUCCGGAUUUAUUGGGCGUAAAGCGAGCGCAGGCGGUUAGAAAAGUCUGAAGUGAAAGGCAGUGGCUCAACCAUUGUAGGCUUUGGAAACUGUUUAACUUGAGUGCAGAAGGGGAGAGUGGAAUUCCAUGUGUAGCGGUGAAAUGCGUAGAUAUAUGGAGGAACACCGGUGGCGAA
rnacentral:rRNA from 1 species